rnacentral:rRNA from 1 species
GACGAACGCUGGCGGCGUGCCUAACACAUGCAAGUCGAGCGAUGAAGUUUCUUUCGGGAAAUGGAUUAGCGGCGGACGGGUGAGUAACACGUGGGUAGCCUGCCUCAUAGAGGGGAAUAGCCUCCCGAAAGGGAGAUUAAUACCGCAUGAUAUUGCAAUUUCGCAUGAAACAGUAAUUAAAGGAGUAAUCCGCUAUGAGAUGGACCCGCGGCGCAUUAGCUAGUUGGUGAGGUAACGGCUCACCAAGGCGACGAUGCGUAGCCGACCUGAGAGGGUGAUCGGCCACAUUGGGACUGAGACACGGCCCAGACUCCUACGGGAGGCAGCAGUGGGGAAUAUUGCACAAUGGGGGAAACCCUGAUGCAGCAACGCCGCGUGAGUGAUGACGGUCUUCGGAUUGUAAAGCUCUGUCUUUGGGGACGAUAAUGACGGUACCCAAGGAGGAAGCCACGGCUAACUUCGUGCCAGCCGCCGCGGUAAUAC